AUGGACUUGAUAAGUGACCUUAAGGUUCUCGAGAUGCAUUCUUGAUCCACAGAUACUUUUGCAAUAAAUUCAGUAGUCUGGUCCAUAAGAUCUGCACCAAGCAUCUUAAAAUGUGCACUAUUUUAUAUACUUCUGCCACAUCCCACAUCAAGAAGUUCCAACCAAACACUUCCUGUCCAUCCCACUGCACCCUGUGUGUUGUUAUAAGAUGAUUAAUGAAGUUAACACAAAUCAUGUUUAUCACAUUUCUGAAAGAAGAAAUGCUACAGUUUUCUGAUGGAUGCAUAACAACAAAGAAACUAGGCUUAAUGCUAAAAGCUGCAGGGUAUACAAAAUAACAUUAGUUGAUUCAGUGAUCAGCACAGUCAGCCACUAUAUAUGAAUAACUAGAAGAUGUCUAUAAGAAUUAUACAAUAACACCAAUACAUAUAAAAAAUAUUAAGGAAAAUAUGGCUUUCACACAAACAGCCUAUUCAAGAGAUGUGAUUGUAAAAUGGGAUGAUGCUAAAAUUAUCAACUCAUUGUAUUCUAACAAGCUGAGGUCCAACUUUCACAAAGUUUGGAACAUUUACUUCCAUAAUCAGGAUGAAAAUCUAAUAAAUUCUAGGGUUAAGGAUGCUAUAUCUAGUUCUUGGGAGUUUUUUAUUAAUCAAUGUACUUAUAGUGUUUAAGUGCCACAAAUGUAAAUAUUGUAUUUGCUAUUACUUUCUCUGUUC
rnacentral:lncRNA from 1 species